GCUUGUCUCAAAGAUUAAGCCAUGCAUGUCUAAGUAUAAGCAAUUAUACAGCGAAACUGCGAAUGGCUCAUUAUAUAAGUUAUCGUUUAUUUGAUAGUACCUUACUACUUGGAUAACCGUGGUAAUUCUAGAGCUAAUACAUGCUAAAAAUCCCGACUUACGAAGGGAUGUAUUUAUUAGAUUAAAAACCAAUGCCCUUCGGGGCUCACUGGUGAUUCAUAAUAACUUCUCGAAUCGCAUGGCCUUGCGCCGGCGAUGGUUCAUUCAAAUUUCUUCCCUAUCAACUUUCGAUGCUAGAGUAGUGUUCUAGCAUGGUUACAACGGGUAACGGAGGGUUAGGGCUCGACCCCGGAGAAGGAGCCUGAGAAACGGCUACUACAUCCAAGGAAGGCAGCAGG
rnacentral:rRNA from 1 species